rnacentral:rRNA from 1 species
GACUACUAGGGUAUCUAAGCCUGUUUGCUACCCACGCUUUCGCGCCUCAGCGUCAGAUAAUGCCCAGUGAACUGCCUUCGCCAUGGGUAUUCCUCCUGAUAUCUACGCAUUUCACCGCUACACCAGGAAUUCUAUUCACCUCUGCAUUCCUCAAGUCUGCCAGUAUGUAAAGCAGUUUCCGAGUUGAGCUCUGGAGAUUUCACUUCACACUUAACAGACCGCCUACGCGCUCUUUACGCCCAGUAAAUCCGGACAACGCUCGGACCCUACGUCUUACCGCGGCUGCUGGCACGUAGUUAGCCGGUCCUUAUUCUCAGGGUACCGUCCUAAGUCUUUCCCUGCAAAAGGAGUUUACAGACCUAAAUCCGUCAUCCUCCACGCGGCGUCGCUGCAUCAGGGUUUCCCCCAUUGUGCAAGAUUCCCCACUGCAGCCUCCCGUAGG